rnacentral:rRNA from 1 species
CAUAGGUUAAUGAGGCGAACCGGGGGAACUGAAACAUCUAAGUACCCCGAGGAAAAGAAAUCAACCGAGAUUCCCCCAGUAGCGGCGAGCGAACGGGGAGGAGCCCAGAGCCUGAAUCAGUGUGUGUGUUAGUGGAAGCGUCUGGAAAGGCGCGCGAUACAGGGUGACAGCCCCGUACACAAAAAUGCACAUACUGUGAGCUCGAUGAGUAGGGCGGGACACGUGGUAUCCUGUCUGAAUAUGGGGGGACCAUCCUCCAAGGCUAAAUACUCCUGACUGACCGAUAGUGAACCAGUACCGUGAGGGAAAGGCGAAAAGAACCCCGGCGAGGGGAGUGAAAAAGAACCUGAAACCGUGUACGUACAAGCAGUGGGAGCCUCUUAAUGGGGUGACUGCGUACCUUUUGUAUAAUGGGUCAGCGACUUAUAUUCUGUAGCAAGGUUAACCGAAUAGGGGAGCCGAAGGGAAACCGAGUCUUAACUGGGCGUUAAGUUGCAGGGUAUAGACCCGAAACCCGGUGAUCUAGCCAUGGGCAGGUUGAAGGUUGGGUAACACUAACUGGAGGACCGAACCGACUAAUGUUGAAAAAUUAGCGGAUGACUUGUGGCUGGGGGUGAAAGGCCAAUCAAACCGGGAGAUAGCUGGUUCUCCCCGAAAGCUAUUUAGGUAGCGCCUCGUGAAUUCAUCUCCGGGGGUAGAGCACUGUUUCGGCAAGGGGGUCAUCCCGACUUACCAACCCGAUGCAAACUGCGAAUACCGGAGAAUGUUAUCACGGGAGACACACGGCGGGUGCUAACGUCCGUCGUGAAGAGGGAAACAACCCAGACCGCCAGCUAAGGUCCCAAAGUCAUGGUUAAGUGGGAAACGAUGUGGGAAGGCCCAGACAGCCAGGAUGUUGGCUUAGAAGCAGCCAUCAUUUAAAGAAAGCGUAAUAGCUCACUGGUCGAGUCGGCCUGCGCGGAAGAUGUAACGGGGCUAAACCAUGCACCGAAGCUGCGGCAGCGACACUAUGUGUUGUUGGGUAGGGGAGCGUUCUGUAAGCCUGUGAAGGUGGCCUGUGAGGGUUGCUGGAGGUAUCAGAAGUGCGAAUGCUGACAUAAGUAACGAUAAAGCGGGUGAAAAGCCCGCUCGCCGGAAGACCAAGGGUUCCUGUCCAACGUUAAUCGGGGCAGGGUGAGUCGACCCCUAAGGCGAGGCCGAAAGGCGUAGUCGAUGGGAAACAGGUUAAUAUUCCUGUACUUGGUGUUACUGCGAAGGGGGGACGGAGAAGGCUAUGUUGGCCGGGCGACGGUUGUCCCGGUUUAAGCGUGUAGGCUGGU